GAAAGUCGUUAAGAUUUACGAGGGAGGAUAAUCGGGCUACAUUUUUCGAGAUACCAACCAUUCGUUCUUGUAAUCGGUACGACGUGCACGGAAGGUGUUGAGUUAACUUUUUAUGAAAAUCAGUGAGCCGAAACGAGGCUCGUGAAUCAGUUGCAGCGCGCGCUUUUGUUUCGUUCACUCGGAUGUUACUUGUUGCAUUUUCGUGACAUGCUUACACGCUUCUAUCAGGAUACGCCUGAUUACUGAACGUCAUUAUUACGGACCAAGAGAUGAACUGAGACAAAAAGUUCUGCUAUGAAAGCAAAACAGACAAAACGAGCGACUGAAAGUACAAGAAAGGGAAGUGAACGAGGAAGCAGAAAAAGGUAACAAGUAGAAUUCUAUUGAAUAUUUGUAGCUAACUGAGAAGUUUAUGGGAAUAGAAAAGAGGAAUUAUCUACAAAAGGUAAAAUAAAAUAGUACUAGUUUCUCUAUUAUAUAACCAACAUUUCUCAGAUGUAUUCAUCUUCAAGCUUGAUCUUUCAGUGAUACUGUGUGCCACCUGUCUAUAAAAAACACAAAUUCGCUCAAUUUUUCUUCUUAUGUUAUUUAAAGCUAUUAAACUUAAAAGGCAUAAUUAAAGUCAUUGUCAUAUAAUCAAUAAGAAGCGCAAAUAACAACAAAGAACAUAGAUAAAAGAACAUACCUAGAUUGUUUGUUCAACUGAUAAAUUUACUUCGUUAUAAUUUAUAUGCAGUUUAAGAACCAGCCAUAUAUGUCUGCGAGGAAUCGUAAGAAUUUUUACAACGAUUAUUUUCAUGCUAGCUUUGGUUGUGAAUACAAUGUACAAUAUAAAGCACUGUAGUAGGGCCUAGUAUAUAUCUCUGAUUGUGAGAGGGCUAUGCCAUGAAGCUCCAUUUAAUCUAGAGCAAAUACGGGGCGCUUCGCUUAAAUCAAGACAGAGUUAAGGAGAGAGAACAGUUUCCUUUGUCGGCCCUAAUCUGAACAAACAGCCAUAUACCACGAUUGUGUCGUCUAGAAAUUCUUGUUUUAUCCAAAAUUACCCCAGUGGUAGCUACUGUAGAGAAAAAGCAGAGAUACCUUCCUUCAAAACUUUAGUAACGUAUCUUUCAUCGCAAAAGUACUUCCAACCAUAUAUGUUGUGUUUGUAUGAAAGUAAUAACAACAAUAAUUUUUGCACGAACAAUUACAUAUAUGCAUAUGCAAACGAACGUUCGAUGUUUAUACGAGCAUUUACAACUUAGAAACAACAAAGUAAGCGUUCUGAAACAGAAGUUAUUUUAUACAAUUUUUCACAUAAAUUCUAAAUAUUAAUUUAAUUAAAAAAUGCAAAAAGAGAUAUAGAUUGAUGUAAAAUUUCAAAUGAUGAUUCUAUCAAAGAUCAAGACAGUGAUACGAUAUGUAAAAGUAAACGCGAUAUUAUUGAAAAAUAUAAAUAAAUUAAUUUACAUAUCAAAAGUACAAGAAUAAUAAAUACUUUACAGAAUCACUAAACAAAUUGAAGGACCACAAAGUGGCCUAUGAUUUUUAAAAAAGUAAUUUAUCAUAGUGCUACAAAUAUAUCAAUUUCUUCAACUUUUAUAGAAUUACACACACAUACGCACACAGUACCACUGUACCAAUGUAGUAUUAGUCCAAUGUUUUGUCUUGUAGUUUUGCGGUCGAAAACAUGCGUUUCUAGCUGACAUUUCGCUCGUUGAUCUCCCACGUAGAUGACUAUGUCUGAAGACUUUCUCUCAAGUUUCGUGUAUAUAUGAUGUGCGCGUAAUAACGUGCGGACAUAUAGAUAUAACAAAAUUGUACGAGUUUUGAAAAGAACAUCGUGACGGUUCCCAGGCAGCUUUGACGCGACAUCGGUAAAGUCAGGUUGACGUAUAGGCAGUACGGUGCACAAGAAGGAAGAAACGGCAUUUUCUACUUAUCCUGAAAAAAAGCUGCUGGCACUAUCACACGAAGGGACCCCGCUUUGAAAGGUUUUCUUUGCCCGAUCGCAGUGGCGCAGUCUCCAAUUAACGCUUUCCGCAGUGUCAAAAGGCCCGACGACGACGGUGCGUUGAAAAGUGGAUUAAAACGUGCUCCGUUUGCUAUCGCCUUUUACAACGUUUACAGACGCGACCGUAUAUCGAAGCGAUACAUUGUAAUCAACUACAAGUUGUUUUAUUAUACAAAGCGAAGAUAAUAAAGCUGAGUAUUUAUUCAAAGAUAAACUUUGAUAUAUUCUUCUGGCAAAAUUCCAUCAAUCUGACUCCACCUGACCUCACAACGAUGCAAAGGGGUGAAAGUGGAAAUUGUAGUAAGCAGAGGGUGUAGCAUGGUGAGUCUGAAAAUAAGAAGAUAUAGAUAAAAGGAGAUGGUUCCACGUUGGACUAACAAGACUCAGGACCAGGGGCUAUUAUCAUAAUUGUGGGCUGCAGGCAGCGGCUGUGCCCACAAACCAGAAUGGCUCUUGUCUCAUCUACCUUCGUCUUCGCUUUCUUCUUUCUUAUAUUCUUCGUCCUCUCCUCCUUCUUCCUCUUCUUCGCCUCCUUCCUCUUUUUCGCGUCUUUUUACUCAAACUCUUGUACUCUCGCAUUUUGCGCGUCUCUUCGCCGGUCUUUUGCACGUGCUAGAGACAAAUGGAUCGGCCCUUAAGGCAUUUAGCUUUCACGCUACGUAUUUCCAUUUAGAUUAAGAAGCCUAUGCGAUAUUUUAGGAAUACGUUCUUAUCCAAUGAAAUAUGAUUCGGUAUGACUCGGUCCGCAAGUUAUAAGACCUACCUGUAGUUGUGCGUAAUCGUUGAAAUUUAAAAUAAAAUAAAGAAUGUCUUAAAACGAAGAAAGAGACGUUCAAACGUAUUCGAGAAUAUUGAGAAAACCGUAAGUGCAUAUACACAAUAGCAGUGCUUAUUCAGAAACAAUACUAAACUCGAAGAUGCGAUGUCUGCCGACAAGCGUUCUAUUCUCUCUCGUUCUUUACUUUCCUUGAUUACAUGGCAGGCCUAAGAUCUUUCCAAGCUCUGUAUGUACGUUUUGGCUUUCAUUUUAAGAAAUGGUGAAGUAAUACGAGAAGAAUCGACAGGAAAUGUCAGAAGUACACUCCUUUUAAUCCACCUUUGUGAAGAAUAACGGUACCUUUUUUUAUUUUUCAAAACUAUUUUAUUCAAUCUACGUAAUAGCGCUAAUCGUUGUUUUUAAUUUUGCUGUAACAGUAACUGCAUUAAACUUCUCUUACAUAACUCGAUAUUGUAAGUGAAUUUCUCAGCAUGACCUGAUUUCUUCGUUCACCGCACGUACCGAUAGGAAUCAAUUACCAUAGAUUCAAGCAAUGAACUCGUUACGUAAUUAUAAUUUAGUUAUAAUUGCUAACUGAACGAAUUCUCCGAAUCGAUUAUCGAAGACAAUAUACGUCUUCUUCCUUUUCGAUUAAAUCGUGGAUGUUAAGGAAAGAGUGGCGAAGCAAACGUUUGUUAUUCACGAUUGCAAUUAGCAAUUAUGCCAUACCGUUUUACGUUAACGGUUUAUGGACCGUAUUUUACGCUCAAAUAUUACACGUUUAACAUAUUUCUCUUUAUUUCUGACAAGUACAUCGUGUUCUAUCAGGUAUUCGAGUAAGUAUCUUUUGAGAUUACAGCACUGUAAUUUUAAUAAACAUCAGAAUCUAGAUUCUUGUUGGUUCUUUACUCCUGCUGCUUUUUAUUCUUAUCUGAUGGAUUAAAAUUUACGAACGACGUAUACUUCGGUGAAACGAGGCAUGUACUUGAUUUUCUGUUGAAUCUUUCAGUACCUAUCAUACUCCACCUUGCAUCCUUUAAGUGGCGUGGCUAAAUUGUUUCUGCUUCUUUUGUUUUGUUUUACAUUUCUUCUCGUGUGUUCUUUCAACGAGAGAUGCCAGGGGCGUGUAUGUUUGUUUAGCCUCGGUGUACCCUGUUAUUAGGGGCCGGUGCUGCUCGGAAACCAAAAGGCCCACGCGGAUAUUUGGGCCCUCGAGAGAAAGACGAUCGCGCUAUCCUCCGUCCUCUCUUCUCUCGCUCUUUCCGCAGAAUUCGCCUUCUUCUUGUUCCCCUCGCCGUUUGUCUUUCGCUUUAUUUCGUGUGUAAGAGCAGUUAGAGAUGAAAAGGAUAGCCGGAUAAAUUCGAAAGGAGACCUGUUGGUUCUCGGACAGAGUUUUUGCCUACCUAUUCAGAUAUUCUGAUUUAAAUUCUACCGCAUUUUAAUUUAUCGCUCGUGAUCCUACUGAUUACAGAAACACCUAUUCCUAGGAGAGAAAACGAUCCUUGUUGUCGCCUUUAAACGACUAACUACUGGAUACCAAUGGAAAGAUGGAAGUAACUAUGUACAAACUCGUUCUACAAAAUUGUGUCGUUGACACAAAAUUUCUCACCAUGAUAGUUUUAGAUCGAAGACAAUAGAUACGGUGCUUCGUUAUUUAACUAAGUAGCUAUAUUUUAGGAGGCUACAAGAUGUAUUUAACUAACCAUAGUUAGAUGUUGGCUUGCGUUGGGUUUACUUGCUAUAUACGCAUACGUAUAUGCCCCUUUUUCCACGCAAUUCUGUUUUUUCAAUCUGGGGUUGAUUCGUGGGAUCUUUUGAUUCAUCUUUUUCGAUACACAAUGCAUCGCUGACGACAUCCUGCAGAUUCCGCAAUUGAAUGGUGUCUGUUUGUACGGACGCCACGUGACGAAGCGUUAGGGAUAGACCUAACACGCGGCCAAAUAUUCCAUGCUUUAUUUGUUUAAUUUAACAGUAUUGUGACGCGGUGUUUUCAUUAGUUGACGCUCGAUUUAUUUCUUUCGGAUCUAUUUCCUGCAUUUUUAACGUGGGAGAAAGCAGCGAUUCGAGCACAUGUAUACUUUGCGUAUAUACAUAUUAUAUGUACUAGUACCGUGUGAAAAAUCACUAUAGGUAUACUUUCAUCAUUUUAUUCUUUAUAUCAUUUUUCUAUUUUUAUAUGUGUUUACAGUUGUUAGUUGCUCGUGCAGAAGAGAACUAAAUAACAAAUUGCAAUCUAAUACCACCGUUAUGAAAGUUUCUUUAUACAUGUUUAUCAUAAAUAUAUGGUUUUAUUAUGCUAUGCUUCGAAUUCAUUCGUUCAAAUUGGUAUUUAUUAUUUCUACUUAUUGCUGUAUUAAGAUAUUGGCUAAAAACAUUUUCUCGUAAUAGUACCGACUUCAAGUUAUCUUUUUUGAAUUAUUGUUGAUUUCUGAGUAUCGACGUGCACUGCGACAUCUAAUGGUGCACGCGUAGAACUUCUGCAGAUUUCAAAGGAAAAUAAUAAAAUAUAUAUUAUAAAGUAUAAAAAGAUUUCAAGGACCGUCAUAGAAAGAAAAGUACAUUGUAAUAUAUAGUGGUUUUCAAUACCAAUUAUACGUGUUUACGUGUUUG